AGAGUUUGAUCCUGGCUCAGGAUGAACGCUAGCGGCAGGCUUAAUACAUGCAAGUCGAGGGGCAGCAUGGUUGUAGCAAUACAACUGAUGGCGACCGGCAAACGGGUGCGGAACACGUACGCAAUCUACCCAUAACUGAUGAAUACCCCUCCGAAAGGAGGAUUAAUACAUCGUAACCUAUUUGAGUGGCAUCACUUGAUUAGUAUAGCUCCGGCGGUUUUGGAUGAGCGUGCGGCUGAUUAGGUAGUUGGUUGAGGUAACGGCUCACCAAGCCUUCGAUCAGUAACUGGUGUGAGAGCACGACCAGUCACACGGGCACUGAGACACGGGCCCGACUCCUACGGGAGGCAGCAGUAAGGAAUAUUGGUCAAUGGACGCAAGUCUGAACCAGCCAUGCCGCGUGAAGGAUGAAGGUCCUCUGGAUUGUAAACUUCUUUUAUAGGGGACGAAAUCUAUUUUUCUAAGUAGUCUGACGGUACCCUAGGAAUAAGCACCGGCUAACUCCGUGCCAGCAGCCGCGGCAAUACGGAGGGUGCAAGCGUUAUCCGGAUUCACUGGGUUUAAAGGGUGCGUAGGAGGGCAGGUAAGUCAGUGGUGAAAUCUCCGGGCUUAACUUGGAAACUGCCAUUGAUACUAUCUGUCUUGAAUAUUGUGGAGGUGAGCAGAAUAUGUCAUGUAGCGGUGAAAUGCUUAGAUAUGACAUAGAACACCUAUUUGCG
rnacentral:rRNA from 1 species